GGAGGGCUGGAUUUUGGGGAAGCCUGCUUUAGAAUGACAAAGCAUCAAGAAAGCUGUAGUUUUAAAACAUCUUAGGAUCUACCAUUUGGGCACCCCUGGCCUAUCCCUUUCCAAGGUCUCUGGUUUUCAUCAGCAACCCAGGAGAUGAGAAAUAAUCCUUGUUUUCCCCAAUCAUUCAGUGAUACAUUAUCCACCUCCACCA